rnacentral:rRNA from 1 species
GAUGAACGCUGGCGGCGUGCCUAAUACAUGCAAGUCGAGCGAACAGAUGAGGAGCUUGCUCCUCUGACGUUAGCGGCGGACGGGUGAGUAACACGUGGAUAACCUACCUAUAAGACUGGGAUAACUUCGGGAAACCGGAGCUAAUACCGGAUAAUAUAUUGAACCGCAUGGUUCAAUAGUGAAAGACGGUUUUGCUGUCACUUAUAGAUGGAUUCGCGCCGCAUUAGCUAGUUGGUAAGGUAACGGCUUACCAAGGCAACGAUGCGUAGCCGACCUGAGAGGGUGAUCGGCCACACUGGAACUGAGACACGGUCCAGACUCCUACGGGAGGCAGCAGUAGGGAAUCUUCCGCAAUGGGCGAAAGCUUGACGGAGCAACGCCGCGUGAGUGAUGAAGGUCUUCGGAUCGUAAAACUCUGUUAUUAGGGAAGAACAAAUGUGUAAGUAACUAUGCACGUCUUGACGGUACCUAAUCAGAAAGCCACGGCUAACUACGUG